GACGGAGGAUGCAAGUGUUAUCCGGAAUCACUGGGCGUAAAGCGUCUGUAGGUUGUUUAAAAAGUCUGCAGUUAAAGGUUGAAGCUUAACUUCAAAAAUGCCGUAGAAACUUUUAAAACUAGAGGAUGGUAGGGGUAGAGGGAAUUUCCAGUGGAGCGGUGAGAUGUGUAGAUAUUGGAAAGACCACCGAUGGCGAAGGCACUCUACUGGGCCAUGACUGACACUGAGAGGCGAAAGCUAGGGGAGCAAAUGGG
rnacentral:rRNA from 1 species